UACGUAGGGUGCGAGCGUUAAUCGGAAUUACUGGGCGUAAAGCGUGCGCAGGCGGUUUUGUAAGCCAGAUGUGAAAUCCCCGGGCUUAACCUGGGAAUGGCAUUUGGGACUGCAAGGCUCGAGUGCGGCAGAGGAGACUGGAAUUCCUGGUGUAGCAGUGAAAUGCGUAGAUAUCAGGAGGAACACCGAUGGCGAAGGCAGGUCUCUGGGCUGACACUGACGCUCAUGCACGAGAGCGUGGGGAGCAAACAGG
rnacentral:rRNA from 1 species